UACGUAGGUGGCAUGCGUUGUCCGGAUUUACUGGGCGUAAAGAGCGCGCAGGCGGUCGUUCAAGUCGCGUGUGAAAGCCCCCGGCUCAACUGGGGAGGGUCACGCGAUACUGAUCGACUCGAAGGCAGGAGAGGGUAGUGGAAUUCUAUGUGUAGCGGUAAAAUGCUCAAAUAUAUAGAGGAACACCAAUCGGCGAAGGCAGUUAACUAUUCGACUCCUGACGUUGAGGCACGAAAGCGUGGGGAGCAAGACGG
rnacentral:rRNA from 1 species